GCUUCUGUGGUCCAAUGGUUAGGAUUCCACCCUUCCAGACGUAAAAACGUCGAGUAAGGUGGAGGUUCGUGUUCGAUUCACGGCAGUUGCA